UACGAAGGGGCUAGCGUUGUUCGGAAUUACUGGGCGUAAAGCGCGCGCAGGCGGUCUUCCAAGUCAGUGGUGAAAGCCCGGAGCUCAACUCCGGAACUGCCAUUGAAACUGUGAGACUUGAGGAUGAGAGAGGUGAGUGGAAUUCCCAGUGUAGAGGUGAAAUUCGUAGAUAUUGGGAAGAACACCGGUGGCGAAGGCGGCUCACUGGCUCAGUUUCUGACGCUCAGGCGCGACAGCGUGGGGAUCGAAACAAGG
rnacentral:rRNA from 1 species